rnacentral:tRNA from 1 species
GCCUUCGUAGCUCAGGGGAUAGAGCGUUGGUUUCCGGUACCAAAGGUCGCAGGUUCGAUUCCUGUCGAGGGCA